AUUUAAAUAGCUUAUAUUAGAGCAUAAUAUUGAAGAUAUUAAGGAGAUUAAAAUAAUCUUUAAAUA
rnacentral:tRNA from 1 species